GGGUUGUGAGGUUAAGCGACUAAGCGUACACGGUGGAUGCCCUGGCAGUCAGAGGCGAUGAAGGACGUGCUAAUCUGCGAUAAGCGUCGGUAAGGUGAUAUGAACCGUUAUAGCCGGCGAUUUCCGAAUGGGGAAACCCAGUGUGAUCCGUCACACUAUCAUUACGUGAAUACAUAGCGUAAUGAAGCGAACCGGGGGAACUGAAACAUCUAAGUACCCCGAGGAAAAGAAAUCAACCGAGAUUCCCCCAGUAGCGGCGAGCGAACGGGGAGCAGCCCAGAGUCUGAAUCAGUUUGUGUGUUAGUGGAACGGUCUGGAAAGUCCGACGGUACAGGGUGAUAGUCCCGUACACCAAAAUGCACAGGUUGUGAACUCGAAGAGUAGGGCGGGACACGUGGUAUCCUGUCUGAAUAUGGGGGGACCAUCCUCCAAGGCUAAAUACUCCUGACUGACCGAUAGUGAACCAGUACCGUGAGGGAAAGGCGAAAAGAACCCCGGCGAGGGGAGUGAAAAAGAACCUGAAACCGUGUACGUACAAGCAGUGGGAGCCUCUUUAUGGGGUGACUGCGUACCUUUUGUAUAAUGGGUCAGCGACUUAUAUUCUGUAGCAAGGUUAACCGUAUAGGGGAGCCGAAGGGAAACCGAGUCUUAACUGGGCGUUAAGUUGCAGGGUAUAGACCCGAAACCCGGUGAUCUAGCCAUGGGCAGGUUGAAGGUUGGGUAACACUAACUGGAGGACCGAACCGACUAAUGUUGAAAAAUUAGCGGAUGACUUGUGGCUGGGGGUGAAAGGCCAAUCAAACCGGGAGAUAGCUGGUUCUCCCCGAAAGCUAUUUAGGUAGCGCCUCGUGAAUUCAUCUUCGGGGGUAGAGCACUGUUUCGGCUAGGGGGUCAUCCCGACUUACCAACCCGAUGCAAACUGCGAAUACCGAAGAAUGUUAUCACGGGAGACACACGGCGGGUGCUAACGUCCGUCGUGAAGAGGGAAACAACCCAGACCGCCAGCUAAGGUCCCAAAGUCAUGGUUAAGUGGGAAACGAUGUGGGAAGGCACAGACAGCCAGGAUGUUGGCUUAGAAGCAGCCAUCAUUUAAAGAAAGCGUAAUAGCUCACUGGUCGAGUCGGCCUGCGCGGAAGAUGUAACGGGGCUAAACCAUGCACCGAAGCUGCGGCAGCGACACUAUGUGUUGUUGGGUAGGGGAGCGUUCUGUAAGCCGUUGAAGGUGUGCUGUGAGGCAUGCUGGAGGUAUCAGAAGUGCGAAUGCUGACAUAAGUAACGAUAAUGCGGGUGAAAAACCCGCACGCCGGAAGACCAAGGGUUCCUGUCCAACGUUAAUCGGGGCAGGGUGAGUCGACCCCUAAGGCGAGGCCGAAAGGCGUAGUCGAUGGGAAACAGGUUAAUAUUCCUGUACUUGGUGUUACUGCGAAGGGGGACGGAGAAGGCUAUGUUAGCCGGGCGACGGUUGUCCCGGUUUAAGCAUGUAGGCGGAGGUUCCAGGUAAAUCCGGUACCUUUUUAACGCUGAGGUGUGAUGACGAGGCACUACGGUGCUGAAGUAACAAAUGCCCUGCUUCCAGGAAAAGCCUCUAAGCAUCAGGUAACACGAAAUCGUACCCCAAACCGACACAGGUGGUCAGGUAGAGAAUACCAAGGCGCUUGAGAGAACUCGGGUGAAGGAACUAGGCAAAAUGGUGCCGUAACUUCGGGAGAAGGCACGCUGAUAUGUAGGUGAAGCGGUUUACCCGUGGAGCUGAAAUCAGUCGAAGAUACCAGCUGGCUGCAACUGUUUAUUAAAAACACAGCACUGUGCAAACACGAAAGUGGACGUAUACGGUGUGACGCCUGCCCGGUGCCGGAAGGUUAAUUGAUGGGGUUAUCCGUAAGGAGAAGCUCUUGAUCGAAGCCCCGGUAAACGGCGGCCGUAACUAUAACGGUCCUAAGGUAGCGAAAUUCCUUGUCGGGUAAGUUCCGACCUGCACGAAUGGCGUAAUGAUGGCCAGGCUGUCUCCACCCGAGACUCAGUGAAAUUGAACUCGCUGUGAAGAUGCAGUGUACCCGCGGCAAGACGGAAAGACCCCGUGAACCUUUACUAUAGCUUGACACUGAACACUGGUCCUUGAUGUGUAGGAUAGGUGGGAGGCUUUGAAGUGUGGACGCCAGUCUGCAUGGAGCCAUCCUUGAAAUACCACCCUUUAAUGGCUGGUGUUCUAACGUGGACCCGUGAUCCGGGUUGCGGACAGUGUCUGGUGGGUAGUUUGACUGGGGCGGUCUCCUCCUAAAGAGUAACGGAGGAGCACGAAGGUUAGCUAAUCCUGGUCGGACAUCAGGAGGUUAGUGCAAAGGCAUAAGCUAGCUUGACUGCGAGAGUGACGGCUCGAGCAGGUGCGAAAGCAGGUCUUAGUGAUCCGGUGGUUCUGAAUGGAAGGGCCAUCGCUCAACGGAUAAAAGGUACUCCGGGGAUAACAGGCUGAUACCGCCCAAGAGUUCAUAUCGACGGCGGUGUUUGGCACCUCGAUGUCGGCUCAUCACAUCCUGGGGCUGAAGUAGGUCCCAAGGGUAUGGCUGUUCGCCAUUUAAAGUGGUACGCGAGCUGGGUUUAGAACGUCGUGAGACAGUUCGGUCCCUAUCUGCCGUGGGCGCUGGAGAAUUGAGGGGGGCUGCUCCUAGUACGAGAGGACCGGAGUGGACGCAUCACUGGUGUUCGGGUUGUCAUGCCAAUGGCAUUGCCCGGUAGCUAAAUGCGGAAGAGAUAAGUGCUGAAAGCAUCUAAGCACGAAACUUGCCCCGAGAUGAGUUCUCCCUGAGACUUUAAGUCUCCUGAAGGAACGUUAAAGACGAUGACGUUGAUAGGUCGGGUGUGUAAGUGUAGCGAUACAUUGAGCUAACCGAUACUAAUGAACCGUGAGGCUUAACCUUACAACGCCGAAG
rnacentral:rRNA from 1 species